GGGGUCGACUGGUUUUGACAGCAGGUCUAAUUGAAUAGUAAGCAUGUCGAGCGCUGGGACACAGCUCGUAAAUCUCAUGAUUCACACUUUUUUAAACGGCGAGAAUAACUACGCCUUGGCUGCAUAAUCCGAAUUACAGUAGGAUUAACUUAAUCACGUGUUAGACACGUGACCAAGAUGUCUCGAGAAGGCCUUGGUUUACGGCGUUCUCACUAGAGGCACCGAAAAAGUAAACAUAGUUUUGGCAGGGUCUUGAUGCCAAAGUGAACUUUAAUUGAGAAUAAGGUAGCAGUUGGUGGUCUUAAGCCGGCUGGUGCACGAAAAUUAAAUUAAGACUACACAUGUAGAAAGCUGUUGAAUUGCUUGUUUGGACGGGAGUUCGAAUCUCCCCGACUCCACCA
rfam:Croceibacter atlanticus HTCC2559, complete genome.